rnacentral:rRNA from 1 species
UACGUAGGUGGCAAGCGUUGUUCGGAAUUACUGGGCGUAAAGGGCUCGUAGGCGGUUUGUCGCGUCGGGAGUGAAAACCUUGGGCUUAACUCAGGGCUUGCUUUCGAUACGGGCAGACUAGAGGUAUGCAGGGGAGAACGGAAUUCCUGGUGUAGCGGUGAAAUGCGCAGAUAUCAGGAGGAACACCGGUGGCGAAGGCGGUUCUCUGGGCAUGAUCUGACGCUGAGGAGCGAAAGUGUGGGGAGCGAACAGG